rnacentral:rRNA from 6 species
AACUUUCAACAACGGAUCUCUUGGUUCCGGCAUCGAUGAAGAACGCAGCGAAAUGCGAUAAUUAAUGUGAAUUGCAGAAUUCAGUGAAUCAUCGAGUCUUUGAACGCACAUUGCGCCCCCUGGUAUUCCGGGGGGCAUGCCUGUCCGAGCGUCAUUG